AGUGAACGCUGGCGGCAUGCCUAACACAUGCAAGUCGAACGAAGCCUUCGGGCUUAGUGGCGCACGGGUGCGUAACGCGUGGGAAUCUGCCCUUAGGUACGGAAUAACUCAUGGAAACGUGUGCUAAUACCGUAUGAUGUCUUCGGACCAAAGAUUUUAUCGCCUAGGGAUGAGCCCGCGUCGGAUUAGCUAGUUGGUGGGGUAACGGCCUACCAAGGCGACGAUCCGUAGCUGAUCUUAGAGGAUGAUCAGCCACACUGGGACUGAGACACGGCCCAGACUCCUACGGGAGGCAGCAGUGGGGAAUCCUUGGACAAUGGGCGCGAAGCCUGAUCCAGCCAUGCCGCGUGAGUGAAGAAGGUCUUCGGAUUGUAAAGCUCUUUUGCCAGGGUACGAUAAAUGACGGUACCUGGAGAAUAAGCCCCGGCAAACUUCGUG
rnacentral:rRNA from 1 species